GAAAAUAAUUUCUGUGAUUUUUUUAUAUCAUUUACCUAGUGAUCGAAAGGAUUUAAAAUCAAUAAUUUUUAAUGGUUGAUAUCUGUCGUUUUCAAGUUUAACGGUGUAGAAGUAUUCAAAUCAGAUGAAAUUUUGAUACAAAAUUCUUUAUACUAUUUACAAUAAGAUCAAUAUUUCUGAUCGAAAAUUUUAGUGCUAUACCACCACUUUUUAUAGGAUUUUUAUUUUCAGCCGUUAAAAAUUAUUGAUUUUGAAUCAUUUUGAUUGCUAGAUAAAUGAUAUCGAAAAAUUGCAAAAAUUAUUUUCUGGAAACUUCAAAUAUGCUAGAUCAAGUCUAACAGAGCCGAUCGUUGAUUCGGACAUUCCAUCAUCGAAAAUGGCUCAGGAGCACGGAGGCCUCCGUGCUCCUAAGAGCACAGCAGUCCUGCUAUAUAUAUAUAUUAUAGUAUAUAUAUAUAUAUAUAUAUAAAGUCUUGCUUUCGAUCUUAGGGUGUUCAAAUUAAUGAUCCACACCGUUGAAUAUGAUGUAAGGUAUUUGAAGUUCUCAGGAAUAAAAUUUUAGUUUUUUUCGAUAUCGUUUACUUAGUAAAUAAAUUAUGUCAAAAUGGACGGUGGAAAUUGAAUAAUCUUUAAAAUUUGAGCAUAGGAUUUUUACAUUCAAGAUCAAGAAUGUUAACCUUAAUCUAGAUAGUUUAAAAUAUUUUCUAUCAAAAUUUGAAGAAAUUUAGAUUCUUCUAUACCAUUAAACUCCAAACUCGCCAUAGUAGCCAUUGAAAAUUAACAAUUUUGAAAUGAUUUGAUCAUAAAAUAAACUAUGUCGAAAAAUAUAAAAUUUUAUUUCUAAAAACUUUAAAUACCCUACAUUAGUUUUAACGGUGUGGAUCG
rnacentral:lncRNA from 1 species